CUUGGUUCAGGAUGAACGCUAGCUACAGGCUUAACACAUGCAAGUCGAGGGGUAGCAGGGUAGCAAUACCGCUGACGACCGGCGCACGGGUGAGUAACACGUAUCCAACCUUCCCAUAACUCAGGGAUAGCCUUUCGAAAGAAAGAUUAAUACCUGAUAGUACUUUUUCAAGGCAUCUUGAGAAAGUUAAAGAUUUAUUGGUUAUGGAUGGGGAUGCGUUCCAUUAGAUAGUUGGUGAGGUAACGGCUCACCAAGUCUUCGAUGGAUAGGGGUUCUGAGAGGAAGGUCCCCCACAUUGGUACUGAGACACGGACCAAACUCCUACGGGAGGCAGCAGUGAGGAAUAUUGGUCAAUGGGCGAGAGCCUGAACCAGCCAAGUAGCGUGAAGGAUGAAGGUCCUAUGGAUUGUAAACUUCUUUUAUAGUAGAAUAAAGUGAUCCACGUGUGGAUUUUUGUAUGUAUACUAUGAAUAAGGAUCGGCUAACUCCGUGCCAGCCGCUGC
rnacentral:rRNA from 1 species